rnacentral:rRNA from 1 species
UACGUAGGGGGCAAGCGUUGUCCGGAAUCAUUGGGCGUAAAGCGCGUGUAGGCGGGUCGGUAAGUCCGCUCUGAAAGCCCGGGGCUCAACCCCGGGAGGCGGGUGGAUACUGUCGACCUCGAGUCCGGAAGAGGCGAGUGGAAUUCCUGGUGUAGCGGUGAAAUGCGCAGAUAUCAGGAGGAACACCAACGGCGAAGGCAGCUCGCUGGGACGGAACUGACGCUAAGGCGCGAAAGCGUGGGGAGCGAACAGG